rnacentral:tRNA from 7 species
GCCCUCGUAGCUCAGUGGAUAGAGCACGGCUCUCCUAAAGCCGGUGUCGUAGGUUCGAUUCCUAUCGGGGGCA